CGGGAGCUUGCUCCCUUAGGCCAGCGGCGGACGGGUGAGUAACACGUGGGUAACCUGCCUGUAAGACUGGGAUAACUCCGGGAAACCGGGGCUAAUACCGGAUGCUUGAUUGAACCGCAUGGUUCAAUCAUAAAAGGUGGCUUUUAGCUACCACUUGCAGAUGGACCCGCGGCGCAUUAGCUAGUUGGUGAGGUAACGGCUCACCAAGGCGACGAUGCGUAGCCGACCUGAGAGGGUGAUCGGCCACACUGGGACUGAGACACGGCCCAGACUCCUACGGGAGGCAGCAGUAGGGAAUCUUCCGCAAUGGACGAAAGUCUGACGGAGCAACGCCGCGUGAGUGAUGAAGGUUUUCGGAUCGUAAAACUCUGUUGUUAGGGAAGAACAAGUACCGUUCGAAUAGGGCGGUACCUUGACGGUACCUAACCAGAAAGCCACGGCUAACUACGUGCCAGCAGCCGCGGUAAUACGUAGGUGGCAAGCGUUGUCCGGAAUUAUUGGGCGUAAAGCGCGCGCAGGCGGUUUCUUAAGUCUGAUGUGAAAGCCCCCGGCUCAACCGGGGAGGGUCAUUGGAAACUGGGGAACUUGAGUGCAGAAGAGGAGAGUGGAAUUCCACGUGUAGCGGUGAAAUGCGUAGAGAUGUGGAGGAACACCAGUGGCGAAGGCGACUCUCUGGUCUG
rnacentral:rRNA from 1 species